rnacentral:rRNA from 1 species
UACGGAAGGCAGCAGUGGGGAAUAUUGCACAAUGGGCGAAAGCCUGAUGCAGCUAUGCCGCGUGUAUGAAGAAGGCCUUAGGGUUGUAAAGUACUUUCAUCGGGGAGGAAAAACAAAACUAAUAAUUUUAUUUCUUGACGUUACCCGAAAAAGAAGCACCGGCUAACUCCGUGCCAGCAGCCGCGGUAAUACGGAGGGUGCUAGCGUUAAUCAGAAUUACUGGGCGUAAAGAGCACGUAGGUCGGUUUUUUUAAGUCAGAUGUGAAAUCCCUGGGCUUAACCUGGAACUGCAUUUUGAAACUGAAAUACUAGAGUAUCGUAGAGGGAGGUAGAAUUCUAGGUGUAGCGGUGAAAUGCGUAGAUAUCUGGAGGAAUACCUGUGGCGAAAGCGGCCUCCUAAACGAAUACUGACACUGAGGUGCGAAAGCGUGGGGAGCAAACAGGGAUUAGAUACC